rnacentral:lncRNA from 7 species
AUACUACUUGGGUAUGAAAGUUCCUAAGAGAAGAGGAGAAGAUCUCUCUGUCCACCACCUCUGGAACUACACUGACCUGAUCUCCAAAAAGUGUAAAAAUAACAGUGCUAUUCUUUUGAGGGAGAAGUAUGAUAGAAGACUCAAAUAACCUUGUAGCACUUACCUGAAUAUUGCCCUGAGGGAAGUUGAGUGCUGGAUGGGACAAAUUGCUAGAGAAGAGGCAAAGAAGAGGAACAAAUGUUGAGAAAUAAAGGCUCACAUUCCUGACUGCUAGGGUUCCCCUUUCAGGAUCCCCAUGGGCAAAUGGAAGAGGGAGGAAUGGCCAGCUUACCAUUAGAGUUGUUGUCAGCUGCCAACUGGCAAUAUUAGUAUUGGGGAACCUUCUACUAGAGCAAGGAAGGCAGCGAAGCUUGAACUAAAGAUCUGAAGCACUUUGCUGUGUCAUCUAUCUUCAUUGUCCCUUCUGGGAGCCACAGAAAUGGUACACACCCCAUCUGGGAACCAAAAACACCUAGCAACUGCAGCCUGAAUGAGGGCUUGAAAUGCUCUGCCAUUUCAUUUAUCUUCUCCGUCCCUCCUGGCAACCAGAGAAACAGUGGCUGAAGGCACACCCCACCCAGAAACCAGAGACAGCAAGUGCUGUACCCUGAGCAGAAGCCUGAAAGCAAGCCAUUCCAUUCAUCCCCUGCUUCCUGUCUGCAGCACUGUACCUGGCACAGGAGUCACUUAGAAUAUGCAAACUAGGAGGAUGGAACUUCCAGAAAUUCUCACAGAGAAAAUAUAAGGAUAAGUGUUCCUGACCAUCUUCAUGACCUUCUCUGGAUGCAAGUACUUAACAUCAGUCUGCACAGAAUGUCAGUCUUACUUGAGGCCCACUGAAAAUAUAGUGGAACUGUCUGUGAAUGCCAUUAAGUUUUAGAAGAUUGCUUCUUUCACUAGUGUGGUUGCUUCAAGAGUGUGAGAUUCCACUUAAUUAGAAGAAAAAAACUUUCCUUUGACACAUUUGAAAGACUUGCUGAGUUCCAAUCUAGGAGUACAUUCUGUGGAUACUGCUGCUUCACUGAAUGAGUUAGCCGAGUCUCUGGGGAAGGUAUCAAAAAAAUGUACAGACUUUUUUUGCCAAGUGUCAUUAUUUUCUGUGAACACAUUAUCUUGUGAAAUAGUUUGAAUGUGUCACCAAACAUUGUGCACACCUUCACUUGUAGAAUAUGUCUAAAAAGAAAGGAAAGAUCAACAGUAUAUCUCCAAAGAGCAAAUUCGACAUUAUUCACACUCUGAAAAACAAGAAAUACCAAUGCUCUUUGGCUUACAUGUUUAGCACCUUGGUAGUGUGGACACUACAACUGUAGAGAUAACAAGGAUAUAAAAAAGGUGUGAGAGGAAUCUUAGCUACAAAUUAUCUGUAGCAGAAUGGACUUGAAAGGGAUUUUUCAACAAUGAAUUCUUCAGUUAGGUUUGUAAAAAGAGUAACAGAUUUCUCCUCUAAACUACUUGGACUUAUAAAACUAAGACAUGCUUUCUGAGUGAAAACAUCUACUGUAGCGGCAGUAUGGGUUUACACGGCAUUGUUGGUGAAUCCUAAAGAGUAACAGUGUCUCUGGACUUUUAUGGACUAUACUCCUGAGAUCAAAACAAAAGUCACUUCCUGUUUAAGAUGCUGCAGUCUGAAGUGAAUAGGAAGAAAGUAUCUGAGCU